ensembl:lncRNA
GGCAGGUAGCCUAGUGGUUAGAGUGUAGAGGAGGCAGGUAGCCUAGUGGUUAGAGUGUAGAGGAGGCAGGUAGCCUAGUGGUUAGAGUGUAGAGGUGGCAGGUAGCCUAGUGGUUAGAGUGUAGAGGUGGCAGGUAGCCUAGUGGUUAGAGUGUAGAGGAGGCAGGGUAGCCUAGUGGUUAGAGUGUAGAGGUGGCAGGUAGCCUAGUGGUUAGAGUGUAGAGGGGGCAGGUAGCCUAGUGGUUAGAGUGUAGAGGUGGCAGGUAGCCUAGUGGUUAGAGUGUAGAGGUGGCAGGUAGCCUAGUGGUUAGAGCGUAGAGGUGGCAGGUAGCCUAGUGGUUAGAGUGUAGAGGUGGCAGGUAGCCUAGUGGUUAGAGUGUAGAGGAGGCAGGUAGCCUAGUGGUUAGAGCGUAGAGGUGGCAGGUAGCCUAGUGGUUAGAGUGUAGAGGAGGCAGGUAGCCUAGUGGUUAGAGCGUAGAGGUGGCAGGUAGCCUAGUGGUUAGAGUGUAGAGGAGGCAGGUAGCCUAGUGGUUAGAGUGUAGAGGUGGCAGGUAGCCUAGUGGUUAGAGUGUAGAGGAGGCAGGUAGCCUAGUGGUUAGAGUGUAGAGGUGGCAGGUAGCCUAGUGGUUAGAGUGUAGAGGCGGCAGGGUAG